rnacentral:rRNA from 1 species
CCUACGGGAGGCAGCAGUGGGGAAUAUUGGACAAUGGGGGGAACCCUGAUCCAGCGACGCCGCGUGAGUGAAGAAGUAUUUCGGUAUGUAAAGCUCUAUCAGCAGGGAAGAAAGAAAUGACGGUACCUGACUAAGAAGCCCCGGCUAACUACGUGCCAGCAGCCGCGGUAAUACGUAGGGGGCAAGCGUUAUCCGGAUUUACUGGGUGUAAAGGGAGCGUAGACGGCGAUGCAAGUCUGAAGUGAAAGGCGGGGGCCCAACCCCCGGACUGCUUUGGAAACUGUAUGGCUGGAGUGCAGGAGAGGUAAGUGGAAUUCCUAGUGUAGCGGUGAAAUGCGUAGAUAUUAGGAGGAACACCGGUGGCGAAGGCGGCCUGCUGGACUGCAACUGACGUUGAGGCCCGAAAGCGUGGGGAGCAAACAGGAUUAGAUACCCGAGUAGUC